ACGGAGGGGGCGAGCGUUAUUCGGAAUUAUUGGGCGUAAAGGGCGCGUAGGCGGCUGGUCAAGUCAAAGGUGAAAUCCCUCGGCUCAACUGAGGAACUGCCUUUGAAACUAGCGAGCUUGAGGCCGGGAGGGGGUAGCGGAAUUCCCAGUGUAGCGGUGAAAUGCGUAGAUACUGGGAGGAACACCAGUGGCGAGGGCGGCUACCUGGACCGGUACUGACGCUGAGGCGCGAAAGCGUGGGUAGCAAACAGGA
rnacentral:rRNA from 1 species